rnacentral:rRNA from 1 species
GAUGAACGCUGGCGGCGUGCCUAAUACAUGCAAGUCGAGCGAACAGAUGAGGAGCUUGCUCCUCUGACGUUAGCGGCGGACGGGUGAGUAACACGUGGAUAACCUACCUAUAAGACUGGGAUAACUUCCGGAAACCGGAGCUAAUACCGGAUAAUAUAUUGAACCGCAUGGUUCAAUAGUGAAAGACGGUUUUGCUGUCACUUAUAGAUGGAUCCGCGCCGCAUUAGCUAGUUGGUAAGGUAACGGCUUACCAAGGCAACGAUGCGUAGCCGACCUGAGAGGGUGAUCGGCCACACUGGAACUGAGACACGGUCCAGACUCCUACGGGAGGCAGCAGUAGGGAAUCUUCCGCAAUGGGCGAAAGCCUGACGGAGCAACGCCGCGUGAGUGAUGAAGGUCUUCGGAUCGUAAAACUCUGUUAUUAGGGAAGAACAAAUGUGUAAGUAACUAUGCACGUCUUGACGGUACCUAAUCAGAAAGCCACGGCUAACUACGUG